GCUUUAACAUGCAGUCGAACGGCAGCACGGACUUCGGUCUGGUGGCGAGUGGCGAACGGGUGAGUAACAUAUCGGAACGUAUCCAAUAAUGGGGGAUAACGAGUCGAAAGAUUCGCUAAUACCGCAUACGCCCUACGGGGGAAAGCUGGGGACCUUCGGGCCUGGCGUUAAUGGAGCGGCCGAUAUCUGAUUAGCUAGUUGGUGAGGUAAAGGCUCACCAAGGCGACGAUCAGUAGCUGGUCUGAGAGGACGACCAGCCACACUGGAACUGAGACACGGUCCAGACUCCUACGGGAGGCAGCAGUGGGGAAUUUUGGACAAUGGGCGCAAGCCUGAUCCAGCCAUUCCGCGUGAGUGAAGAAGGCCUUCGGGUUGUAAAGCUCUUUCGCAAGGGAAGAAAACUUAGCCACUAACAUUGGCUGAGGUUGACGGUACCUUGAUAAGAAGCACCGGCUAACUACGUGCCAGCAGCCGCGGUAAUACGUAGGGUGCGAGCGUUAAUCGGAAUUACUGGGCGUAAAGCGUGCGCAGGCGGCUUUGUAAGUCAGAUGUGAAAUCCCCGAGCUCAACUUGGGAACUGCGUUUGAAACUGCAAGGCUAGAAUAUGUCAGAGGGGGGUAGAAUUCCACGUGUAGCAGUGAAAUGCGUAGAGAUGUGGAGGAAUACCAAUGGCGAAGGCAGCCCCCUGGGAUAAUAUUGACGCUCAUGCACGAAAGCGUGGGGAGCAAACAGGAUUAGAUACCCUGGUAGUCCACGCCCUAAACGAUGUCUACUAGUUGUUGGUGGAGUAAAAUCCAUGAGUAACGCAGCUAACGCGUGAAGUAGACCGCCUGGGGAGUACGGUCGCAAGAUUAAAACUCAAAUGAAUUGACGGGGGCCCGCACAGCGGUGGAUUAUGUGGAUUAAUUCGAUGCAACGCGAAAACCUUACCUGGCCUUG
rnacentral:rRNA from 1 species